CCUACGGGGGGCAGCAGUGGGGAAUAUUGGACAAUGGGGGCAACCCUGAUCCAGCCAUGCCGCGUGUGUGAAGAAGGCCCUCGGGUUGUAAAGCACUUUCAGUGAGGAAGAACGCCUGGUGGUUAAUACCCAUCAGGAAAGACAUCACUCACAGAAGAAGCACCGGCUAACUCCGUGCCAGCAGCCGCGGUAAUACGGAGGGUGCGAGCGUUAAUCGGAAUUACUGGGCGUAAAGCGCGCGUAGGUGGCUUGAUAAGCCGGUUGUGAAAGCCCCGGGCUCAACCUGGGAACGGCAUCCGGAACUGUCAAGCUAGAGUGCAGGAGAGGAAGGUAGAAUUCCCGGUGUAGCGGUGAAAUGCGUAGAGAUCGGGAGGAAUACCAGUGGCGAAGGCGGCCUUCUGGAUUGACACUGACACUGAGGUGCGAAAGCGUGGGUAGCAAACAGGAUUAGAUACCCGAGUAGUC
rnacentral:rRNA from 1 species